rnacentral:rRNA from 1 species
GGAUUCCCUUAGUAAUGGCGAAUGAACUGGGAAAGGCUCAAAUUUAAAAUCACUCACGUGAAUUGUAGUUUAAAGGAUAUUAGUCUAGCAAUAACCACUGUCAAAGUGCUCUGGAAUGCGCCAUCAUAGAGGGUAAAAUUCCCGUACUAGACAGUAAGGAAGUUGCAAAGAACUUAUAACCUAAGAGUCAUGUUGCUUGAUAGUGCAGCAUAAAUUGGGAGGUAAAUUCCUUCUAAAGCUAAAUACUAGAGAGAGACCGAUAGCAAACAAGUACCGUGAGGGAAAGAUGAAAGAGAACCCUGAAAAGGGGACUCAAAAGAAUGUGAAAUCGUCAAAAGGUAAGCGCUAAGAACGCUCAUAGUCUAAACUUUAAUGCUAGUAAGGUUGCUUACUAUCCUUAGGGUUUGGAUGGCUAUAGCUUGUGUUCUAACCUUUGAGUGCCUUGGGAUUGAAAUUGUAGGCUUCUGUUUACCUUUUUAUGAACUUGGCUACUUGAGAGUUGGAGCAGGAGUCAAAGUCUCACGCUGAGCAAAAUAAGGAUAACUUUUCCUAAUAGACUUGUCUAGAAGGUUUAGGAACUUUGUUUUGUUUCAUCAUGAGUUCUUAUAGUUAGAGGGUUCUAAGCGUCCCGUCUUGAAACACGGACCAAGGAGUCUAACAUAUAUGCAAGUAUAAGGGCUUCAAACCCCAAAUGCGCAAUGAAAGUAAUUUCAGGUAGGAUCCUGCAAGGGUGCACUAUCAGCCGAACCUUAUGGACUCGUUCAUAGGAUUCGAGUAAGAGCAUAUAUGUUGGUACCCGAAAGAUGGUGAACUAUGCCUGAAUAGGGUGAAGCCAGAGGAAACUCUGGUGGAAGCUCGUAGCGAUUCUGACGUGCAAAUCGAUCGUCAAAUUUGGGUAUAGGGGCGAAAGACU